rnacentral:lncRNA from 1 species
AUCAUAGCUGAGAAGAUAGGAAAAGAUGGGAUCCACAUAGGAGUGGAGUCCAUCGCGGGGAAAAAGCUUUCUCACUCAUUUGGAAGUCUUUCGGUGGGCCCACUAUCACGGUGGAUCUCAUAUUUUUACCUCUUCAGACGUACAGUCAGUGGAGAUCUUAUUAAAAUAUAGUAGAUUUUAUUUUUUUAAUUAAAAAUAUGAUUCAUCUCUUCAUCUC